UUCCCGGUAGUGUAAUGGUAGCACCACAGACUCUGGAUCUGUUUGUGGGGGUUCGAGUCCUCCCCGGGAAG
rnacentral:tRNA from 1 species